CAGUACUUCUCCCGGAGGAAGGCCAUGAAAUACCUGGCUGGUAGAUUUUCACAUUAGCCAAGGCAGUGACCUUGAAGCUGCUGAUAAGGGUUUGUUAGUAGUUGAGAAAUCGAUUGAGAGUCCAGAGAAUGCUUUGCAAAGAAAGGAAACGGGUAGAACAGGAGUGGUGGAGCUGGCAGAGCUGAGUUUGAAUCCAACCUUUCUGUCUUUGUACCCAGGUGACCUUGGGUGCAAGACAUUGAGUUUUCUGAGUCUUGGUGUUUUCUUUGGUAAGUGGAACUAACGCCUUCCUCCUCAGGCUUCUGGAAAGAACAACCCUGGCUAACAGUCAAUAAUGAAGCAGCAAUUCCAAUCGCCACUGUGACUGUCAUCAUUUCUUGCAAUCCUGAGCUCCAUCCCCCACCUGAUAACUUCACUGGGACUCCCGAUUCUCUGCCAGCUAACCAGGGUUGCACCUGUACCCUCCAACCCCACCCCUGCCAAGGACACAGGGAAGAAGAUGCAUGAAGAGCUUUGAACUUCUUAUUCCUGAGACUCUGAAAGAAUGUGAUGGAAGUUUCCAAGGAGAAGCAUGCAAACAAUUUUUAAUGAGAGGAUACGAGCAUCAAGAGAUCACAGGAAGGACAAGGGAGCUCCUGAUGUCCAACUCCAGUUGGUGCCCACCCAUCCUGCUGCUGGAGCUGAGCUGCUGUUCCCUGCACUCACCGGAUGUGUGGCCUUGGGCCCCCUGUGCCAUGGAGCUGGUGGGAGUGGUCAUCUGCAGGUCAUCUACCUUCCGGCCCAAGUUCCCUUUGACCUGUCUCUCAGAAGCCCCAUGUUCUAUAAAGAAAUCCCCCUGAGCCUAGGCGCCCUAAGCAGGAACGUGUCAGUCCCCUGGGCAGUGCUGAUGCCUCUGCCCUCCCUUCUCUCCCCAGAGAUGUUGAGUUUGAGUGAGCUGGGACAUGGAGCAGGUGUCUGCACCUAUCCCCUGCUGCGCAGCAGGGCCUAGCCUGGUUCUCACCUCCUUUUGCUUUUGGCUGAUGUGAACCUCAUGGAAUACACACAACCCUACUGGACAGAUGUGCACACAGGGAGUUCCUUCCCACAGAGAAUGAAGGCAGUUUAGGGCACAGAGUGGCCUGUUGAUUGCUGCCAAGGAUUGCCUCUAAGAGCCGUUAUUGGUCUUUGAAACAACUCAUCAGGCCUUCCUAUUUGGAUGGCAGGGACCCAAUUACCUGAGCCAUCACGGCUGCUUCUCAGGGUCUGCCUUAGCAGGAAGCUGGAGCAGGAGCCAGAGCCAAGCCUCUAAUCCAGGUACUGAUGUGGGACACUAGCGGCUGCACCACUAGACCAAGUGCCCCCCAGCCCAGACUUUUCUUUAGAUGAUGGUAAAGAUUUAAAAAAAAAAAGGCUGUGGGAACAUGCAAGACUCCUGGGGGCGAGGGUUGGCAAUGGACACUGGCCCUCUGUCCCCACACUGCUGGCCCAUGCCAAGUGACAUGGCCCAGCCUGGAGCCGAGGGUAGGGAAGUGCAUUCCUCCAUGUCAAGGCUGCAGGUGCAAGAUGGAAGCACGGGGUGGUUACCGCAGGCAUGGGUGCUCUCAGGAGCCAGGUACAGACUGUGGGUGCAGUGUGAAGGAGCCUGCGGUGAGUGGCCUGGGAGAUGGGGCUUGUGCGUUGGAGCACUAGGGCAAGGCAGCAGAGAGGCCACAGGUCAGUACACGCAUGUGUUAAUGUUAGCUUCUUGGCCUUCCAGGUGGGGUCUCUGUGGGUCUAGGUUCUUGGCUUUGGGGUCUUUUUGGGUCCUUGCACCCAUAUGGGAGACCCAGAUGAAAUUCCUGGCUUCAACCUAGCCCAUCCCUGGCCAUUGUGGCCACUUGGGGAGUGAACCAGUAGAUGGAAGAUCUCUCUCUCUCUCUCUCUCUCUCUCUCUCUCUCUGCCUCUCCCUCUCUCUAUAUAGCUCUUCCUUUGAAAUAAAUAAAUAAAUCUUUUUUAAAAAGUUUCUUCAUGGGGAAAUGGAAUUACAAAAUGUUUACUUUGAUGCAAAAAAAAUUUGAAAUCCAUGCCACAUUUUUUUCAAAAUAUACAUUUUUUCAUGAACUUUUUUGAAGAUCCCUCAUAUUUCUUAAACUUUUUUGGAAGUAGAAUAUUCUCCCCCACCCCAUUAGGUCAGGUAGCAACUACUAGCAUCUCUUGGCAGUAGUCUUCUAUGUGGGAAGCAUUGCGAGAGAUGGUCUGGUAUCGAGUAACAGCAAAGGCAUAAUGCCACAGCACAUAGAAUCAGUUAACCCCCAGUUUAAAUCAUGGCUUCAGGGCUGGGCGUUUGGCCUUGUGAUUAAGAUGCCACUUUGGGCACUCACUUUCCCAUUUGGGGUGCCUGGGUUCAAGUCCCAGCUCCACUUCUGAUUCCAGCUUCCUAACACUACGCACCCUGGGAGGCAGCAGGUGAUGGCUCAAGCGGCCGAGUCCCUGCCACUCACUUGGGAGACCCAGACUGAGCUCCCUGCUCCUAGCUUCAUCCUGGCUGUGCUGCAGCUGUGUGGGCGUUUGGGGGGCGGGGAUGAGACAGUGGGUGGAAGUUGUCUUUCUCUUUCUGUUUCUCUGUCUGCCACUGAAAUAAGCAAAUGAGAAUUUUUUAAAAAAUCACAACUUCAUCACUUGUUGGCUGUGUGGCUUUGGGCAGGAUGUUUGCCUCUCUGAACCACAACUGCCUCAUCUACAUGAUGGUGUGAUAACAGCACCUCCACUGCUAUGGUUGCCUGCACUCUAGGUUUGUUGAGAUUCUGUGAUAAUGCAUGGGAGGCACUUGACGCACAACACAAGUAGCCAGCGGCAAUGGCUUCUCUGGGGUCCGGCCGUGAGGCCCCCUACACAAAGGCUGGAGAUGGGUAUCCACAGCUGGGCCAGUGGUUGGCACUGAGUUAGUCCCUCUGUGGCUCCGGCAGGAUCUAAAAGGAGAAUAAUCUCUGUACCCUUGCUUGACCAGCCCGCAGUCCUGCUGGGCAGAACAAGUCAGCAAGAGGCCUGGGAGCGUGUGGUGAGACCAGGCCUCGCUGGACAGCACUGUGCCAGCUACACCUGAAAGGGAAGAAAACAAAGAAAAUGCCACCUCUGUCUCAGACCAGGCUGUCACCCCGCCCCGUCUUUGGCUGAUGCAGUGAAACCAAGAGAUAUGUUUGACCUUGGUGUAUUUAUAGCCAGGAAAUAGGAGAGUAUCAUAAGUAAAACCAGAGCAGGGAAACCAAAGAAAGUCCCCCGGGAGGAACGGUGCGCUGUGUGUGAGUGUGUGUGUGAGUGUGAGUGUGUAUGUGUGUGUGUGUGUGUGAGAGAGAGAGAGAGCGAGCAAGCAGCCUGAUCAAAGGCUUGAUAUCUUUAGAAGGCAGUCUGACUCACUAGGUCAAGUUGAAGACUGAAAUUCAUUUCCUCGUUGAACUUCGUUUCCCCAUCUGUAAACUGGGAGCAGCGCUCUUGCCCCUGCUGUGCCGCUAAGGCGCACCGCUGUGGGAGCGGCAGAAUUAUAAACCUCGGCAGAUAGGAGGCGCUCUGGGGGGGGCAUCUGUUCCCUCUCCAGUAGAAGAGGAAAAGCCACAGGAUUGCUGGCUGAGGAGGGGAGAGAACAUCAGAGCAUCAGCAGGUCAGCUCCCUGUGGCACCCUAAGCCUUCUUUCCAGUUUCCUCGUCACGGUGUGGUAACAGCAGAGAGUGUGGCCCCAGGGAUAAGGCGAUCGUCUGCCCAGCACAGGGUGUCCUUGGCUCCCUUGGGUCUCUCUUCACAAGGGAGCUGCACCGUGGCCUCAGAAGCCUCUGCAGGGGUGGCUCAGGGUGAGGGGCGGCAGCGCCACCUCACACUAACACUGGCAGCAGCAGAGCUUCGGAUGAAGAAUAGGACAAUAGAAUUGAAGAGGGACAGGGACCACGUACUUCUGUGCAAGCUGGGGCGGUUUUUAAGAUCUUUUUUGUCAGUUUUUAAUAUUUCUUUAUUUGAAAGGCAGAGUCACACACACAUACACGAGAGUGAGAGAGAUCUUCCAUCUUCUGGUUCACUCUCCAAAUGGGCCCAAUGACCAGGGCUGGGCCUGGCUAAUACCAGGAGCCUGGAACACCAUCCAGGUCUCCCACAUGGGUGGCAGGGGCCCAAAUGCUUGGGCCAUCAUCUGCUACCUCCCAGGUAUAUUAGCCGGGAUCUGGAGGGACAUGAACUGGCACUCUGAUACGGGAUGCCAGUGUCGUAAGUGAUGACUUAACCAGCUGUGCCACAACACUGGCCCUCGGGAACUUUGUUGAACCUGGAAAGAGGUGUAGUUAAUAAAGGGAUGAACCAGAUAUAAGGGACCUAUGACCUCCUGCCUGGAGGCCAUGAGAGGGUAAUCAGGACUGACCGCAUAGUGGUUUCCAUGGAAACCAGUGCUAGAGCCACAGUGCUUCUAGUUGAAGAGGGGCUGGUGUCCAGGGACAUCUGGGGAGGAGGACAGCAGAGCCUCUGGUGAAGGGGACCCUGCCCGAGGUCCAGGUCGGAGACCCAGACUGCAGGCAUCAUUAGACCUCCCUUCUUUGCAGGGUUCGAAAUUUUCAAAACAUUCUCACAAGACCCACACUUCCAUCAGAAAAGUUCACCCACCUGUGCAGGCCUGGAUGGGGCCAGCUGUCAUUUGAGAGGCAAAAACACAGAGCAGCAGAAGUCCCCAAAGCCAUCGGUCUGCAGGGGGUGAAUGCAUCGUCUGCUGUCUGGCUGAGGGACUAUUCUAGUCACUACACUACUCACUAGGACAAGGGCUGAGCCUUGAGUUUCUUAAAAAUCAAUUCCAAAGGUGACCUUUGGGUGCAACCAUUAAGAUGCCACCUCAGACACUCUCAUUCUGUAUUGGAGUGCAUGGGUUUCAGUCCCAGCUCUGCUCCCGAUUCCAGCUUCCUGCUAACGCACACCCUAGGAAACAGCAGGUGAUGACUCAAAUGCUUGGGUCUAAGCCACCCAUGUGUAAGACCUGGAUUGAGUUCCUGGCUCUUGACUUUCACCUGGCCCAGCCCUGGCUGUUAUGGGCGUUUGCAGAGUAAGCUAGUGGAUAGGAGAUCUCUGUCUGUGUCUCUCUUACUCUGCCUAUCAAAUACUUAAACUAUUUUUGUUUUUGGAAAAGAAGUACUUCCUACCUAACUGAUGACCCUCGAGAGAGUGAGGAAAAUUAGAAAGGAGAAGUCCCACCAUGCCACAGGCAGACAUGUUCAUGUAGGGUGGAGCAGGGAGGUUGGGGCCUGAAUGGAUGUGGGGUUCAGACUCACCGGGGGCACCUGGUGUCCUCACGGCUUUCCAGUACCAGCUGAGGCCAGGCUUGGGGCUGGAGGAAUGAAGGGCAGUGACUUGUCUCACUGACAUCUCGUAGAAUGGCAGAAAGCCUGAGCUGCUCCUGGCCUUGAUGGUCACCUCCGCUACGGCAAAGAUGAGGAACCUGGCACUGGAGUAGCAGCAGGCAGAGGAGGGAGCGUGCCUACCUUGUGCUGAGCGUCUCACUUGCAUUAGUCUCGUUCAUCUGCAAAAUACUGUGAGAUGGAAACAUGAUCUGAGGUUAGCUCUGUUGCUCAAACCCUUUGGCUAGUGAAUGGUGAGGGAGGACUUGAACUCAGGCCUUGGUCUGAUCCCAAAGUCCCUGACCUCCGCAGCACACCACCCUGUCUCUCCCUAGAGCGCAGAGGAUAUUAUGUUCUUUGUUCAAAGUCACUUUCCUAUGGAGGAGGUCACACAGAGCUGCAGGUACGCUGACCCCCAUCUAUAUCUUUCUGGGUCAACCCUCAUUGUAAAUAUUUUCUCUCUGAUGUUGCAACCUUCGGCAGUUAGUCACCAGGGCUGCAAAGGGAAGAUAAGCAUGCGAGAGAGGAGCCACCCACUCAGCCCAGCGCGCCACGGGCAAUGUCUGAAUGACUCUUGGGCUGUCAGAGGCAAUUGCCCAGGGAAAUGAAUGCCAAGGCCACUCUGUAGAUAUGACCAGAGUUCGUUUUUCCAUGAUCUCAGAACAACUGGAUAAGUCAGAGGCAAAUGAGGCCCAGAGAUGAGAUAGGUAGGACUUGGCCGCAGGUCCUGAAACCUCACCCUGCCCCAGUGGGGGCGGUCUCUCGGAGGUGGACAGUGCUGGAGUUGCCACAUGAGAGACAGCAGCAGCAGCUUCACUCUGUAGGAAGCAGCUUCGACCCAGGGCCAGUGCCAGGCGAAGAGGGGGUCCCAGCUUGGGGCAGGAGGACCCGAGCAUACAGGCAGGUGCAUGUUCCACGGGCCACGCGACUGCCCUACUGGCCUAUUCUCAUUACCUUCUCUGACCUUCUCCCUCCGGAGAUGUCAGAGAAUCCACAGGAGGGGAAUCCAUAUUCCCAAAAAGAUUGUGGAUCUCCCGAACACGAAAGAACUGAACCCACACACAGAGUUGGUGGUCUCCAGAGGGAGCCUGGAUCCACCAGGAGGGGCAGUUACACAAUCAGUGAGGGGGGUAGGGUACUGUCCUUGAGGCCUGGGCCAGCACAGUAAGAACAAACAGGUUGUUUUGGAAAAUUGUCUGGCCCGCACGCAGGGCCUGGUGUUUGUGGAGUCCUCUGUCUUAUUUGUUGAUCAGCGUUUACCACAUCCUGGAGAAACAGGUCAGCACAGGUGGCCUUCAUUACCCAUGGGACUCGUGCUGGGAGCUCUGAUCCACGUGGAGGCAGCUUGGGCUCCUGAGCCACAGCCAGUCUUCCUCAGCCUCGCCCACAGCUGGCCUGGCCCCCUGCCCACUUCCAUCUGAGAGAUCCUGCACUUGCCACUUGCUUUACCUUUUUAACUUCUGUUGAUUCUGAACCUUUCAAGAAUUUGUCAAAGUCGAGAGCAGAGCACAGUGCACCCCAGGCCCCUGUCACCCAGAAUCCAUGGCUGUUAAAACUUGACCACACUUAGUUCAUCUCUCUCUCUCUCUCUCUCUCUCUCUGUCUUUCCGAAUGAUUUUAAAACACCACAUCAUUUUAUUUCUACACAUUAGAUCUUGCAACUCUUAAAAAGGGAGCAUUUUUCAGAUAUAGUGACGUUAUGUUAUUAUGCCUAAAAUCACCAGUAAUUCUUUGCUGUAAUUGAAAUGUUCCCAAUUCCAGUUUUUUGUUUUUUUGUUUUUUUUUCUUGAAUGAUUGAUUUUUGGGAAUCAAGUCUGUCCUUGGAUUGGGUUCAGUUUUCAAAGGGAUGGAGUCAAUUGUUCUACAGUUGUCCCAUAGCCUCUGCCCCCUGCCCCAUCAGUGCCCCGCCCCGGCCCUCAUUGUGGUUGCCCUGUUACAUCUGUGGAGCUGGCCUCUGUGUCUCUUCUGGAACAUGAGUCUUUUGAGGCAAGCACCAUGUGUCAUCUUAUUCCCUGUGGUUUCCAAGGUAGUGCACUUCCAUCAUGUGUUCUAUUGAUUCUUGAAACAUCACUGUUUGGAGGAUCUUGGGGGUGAAUUGUGUUUUUGCCACUAGAAGUCUUGAGCUUUGGAAAUUCCCACCCCCACCCCAUGACCAGGAGUGACCACUGGAUCACAGGGAUUUGCACAUAGGGCAGAGGGUAGACCAGAUGACCUCUAAGGCCCACCCAGCGUGACUCUGCACUUAUGGCAUCCGGAAGUUCGCUGAUGCCAGACAUCGACUUUGUCCUCGAACUUUGUUCUGGGGCUUAUCAAUAUUCUCGUGGUUAAACUCCACAAGCUGACCUGAUCUGAGGAGGGAAAUUAGGGCAUGGUUUCUUGCCAUUACCUUUUAUAGCUUGGCAAGGGGCAGGAAGGCUUCCUCCCAUCCCCGCCCCUCAUGGUUGAUUCGUCAUUUAGUGCGGUUGCUGGAGCAUGGGCCUGGUGUGUUGCAAUGGUGGGUGGCAGCUCCUGCCCAUCAUCCUGCUUGCUUUCUUUUUUCUUUGUUUGCUUUUAAGAUUUAUUUAUUUAUUUGAAAGGCAGAGUUACACAGAGAGAGAAUGAGAGGCGGGGGGGGGGGGUCUUCCAUCCAAUGGUUUCACUCCCCAACUGGCUACAACAGUCAGAGCUGAGUCAAUCCAAAGCCAGGAGCCAGGAGCUUCCUCCUGGUCUCCCACAUGGGUGCAGGGGCCCAAGCACUUGGGCCAUCUUCCACUGCUUUCCCAGGCCAUAGCAGAGAGCUGGAUCGGAAGUGGAGCAGCUGGGACUCGAACCAGUGCUCAUACGGGAUGGCGCACUGCAUGUGGCGGCUCUACCCACUGCAUCACAGCGCUGGCCCUCAUCCUGCUUUCUGACACAACUCUGAUCUCACAGUCUCUCUGAACUCAUUUAUUCUAGAAGCACAAUCUGUAAGCUAGGUUCUUAGAAAAUAUGCCUUGGAUUAUGGAACCCAGCUUAGUCAUUCAUUUGUGUUACAAGUUCUUUCAGUGCCCUGCCUAGGUUCUGGGAGUCUAAGGAUGACCGUGACACACGUUGACGGCCAGGAGUUCGCUGUUUAAUGAAAGCGACACACAUCAGUGUCAUGGUAGAAAGAAGCCUAGGAACUAUGGGAGACAGAGAAGGGCACCCAUCUCAGAAUACUGGGGUGUGACGAGGCUUCCUGGGAGGCAGCUUCCAAGCUGAGUCUCAAGGAGGAACAGGGGUUUGCUAGAAAAAGGAGAAGGAAAGAGAGAAGGACAAUGCAGGGGCCUGCGCUGUGGUGUAGUUUGUAAAGCUUCUGCCUGCAGUGCUGGCAUCCCAUAUGGGCGCCGGUUUGAGUCCCGGCUGCUCCACUUCCAAUCCAGUUCUCUGCUAUGGCCUGGGAAAGCAAUGGAAGAUGGCCCGAGUCCUUGGACCCCUGCACCCACAUGGGAGACCUGAAAACUCCUGGAUCCUGGAUUCGGAUUGGCCCAGCUCCGGCCGGCCAUUUGAGGAGUGAACCAGUGGAUGGAAAAUCUCUCUCUCUCUCUCUCUCUCUCUCUCUCUGCCUCUGCCUCUCUGUGACUCUGCCCUUCAAAUAAAUCAAUAAAUCUUAAAUUUGAAAAAAUACAGAGACAGUCCAUGGGGACGGAAUAGCAUAUGAAAAGGGAAAUGACACAAAGAUAUGUGUAAUACAAUGAACACCCACAAAUGAUUUUUUAUAAAAAAAAAAAAAAAAUUAGACCUCAGGAAGGUUAAAAUAAUUUGUCCAAGUGGAGGAAGAAGGAUUAAAAUUAUGGUCACAAACUGUUUGGGAAGUGACUCAACAUCCUGACCUUAUUCCAUGCCCACGUAACACCCACCCUCCGUUAAUGAGCUAAAAAAAACCCUCAUUUGUAUCAGACAGGAAAAGCGACUGGGCCUGGAGGGUUCAGGGUGGACAUGGUUGCUGCAUUUUGGGAAGAAACUUUAGGCCCUGUCUAUACGUGAACCGAAUCAUUGGGACCCCAUUCCCAGCAUCCCCAUGGUCUCUUGGGGAUGGGGAACCCAGGACAAUGAGCCCUCUCUCAGGGAAUGGGACGUUUCUCCUCCUGCAGCAAACACAGGCUGUUUUACAUCAGCUUCCUGACAGAGUGGCAGCACCAGACUAUCAGCCAAGUAGGAUUCACCAAAGGUUUAUAUUCUAUAUAUAACAAUUAUGGGGGGGAGGUAUUAAAUAUGGUUAUUCCAGGCCGGUACUGUGGCUCACUUGGUUAAUCCUCUGCCUGCGGUGCCGGAAUCCCAUAUGGACACCGGGUUCUAGUCCCGGUUGCUCCUCUUCCAGUCCAGCUCUCUGCUGUGGCCCGGGAGUGCAGUGGAGGAUGGCCCAGGUGCUUGGGCGCCUGCACCUACGUGGGAAACCAGGAAGAAGCACCUGGCUCCUGGCUUCGGAUCGCGUAGCUCCGACCUUAGCAGCCAUUUGGGGAGUGAACCAACGGAAGGAAGACCUUUCUCUGUCUCUCUGUCACACUGUCUAACUCUGUCAAGUAAAAAAAUAUAUAUAUGGGUUUUCCAAAAACAGUCAUUCUUUAAAAUUUUGUUUUGAAAGUUUGAGAUAGAGAGACAGAAGAGAUCUUCCAGUCCACUGGUUGACUCCAUAAAUGCUCACAACAGCUGGGCUGGGCCAGGCUAAAGCCAAGAACCUGGAACUCAGAUGGGUGAUGGAUACCCAAGUACUUGAGCCAUCACCUGCUGCCUCCCAAUGUGUGCAUUAGCAGGAAGUUGCAGUUGGAAGUAGAGCUGGGACUUGGACCCAGGCACUCUAAUGUGGGAUAUGGGUAUCCCAAGCUGUAUCCUAACCGCUGUGCCAAACACCUGCUGCCAACCACAACCUUGAGAAAGACCAAGAACAUUCUUCUCUGCUCCAUGUCAGAUAAUUGUUUAAAAUUAUCUAAAAGAUUGGAAAUGUUCCUACCAGAAUAGCUGUGUGGGCUCUGUUAAAACCCCUUGGCCCUGAAGGGUUUGGCACUGUGAUUGCCAUAGCAGCUGACACUUCACUUCGGAGACGUUCUUAACUAAAGGAAACAAGGAAGCUAACAAUGCCCAGCACCUAUUACAUGUCAGGCCCUAUUCUAGACACUUCUCUCCAUGCUAUUCUGUUUACUUCUCAAGAGCCUGCCAGAUGCAUUUGUAAUCAGCCCAAAUUUUACAUAGGAGGGACUGAACACUCUGAGAGGCCAAAUCUUGUCAGUGUCAGGGAAAAGAAUCAAACCCAGAAUUCUUCUUCUCCUUCUCCUUCUUCUUCUUCUACAGGCAGAGUGGACAGUGAGUGAGAGAGAGAGACAGAGAGAAAGGUCUUCCUUUUCCAUUGGUUCACCCCGCAAUGACCGCUGUGGCUGGCACACCGCGCUGAUCCAAAGCCUGGAGCCAGGUGCUUCUCCUGGUCUCCCAUGCAGAUGCAGGGCCCAAGCACUUGGGCCAUCUUCCACUGCACUCCCUGGCCACAGCAGAGAGCUGGACAGGAAGAGGAGCGACCGGGACAGAAUCCGGCACCCCGACAGGGACUAGAACCCGGUGUGCUGGUGCCACAGGCGGAGGAUUAGCCUAAUGAGCCGUGGUGCCGGCCCAAACCCAGAAUUCUGACACCAACUCUCCCCUUGCCUCUGCAGCAGGGCUGUAUCUGAUGUGUGAUAGGAGGAACCUAGGACUGAGUGCUGUCUGCAUCCAGCUCAAUCAUGACCUUCGCUGGGCAAGUCACUUAGCCUUUUGUCCCAGCUUUCCUAGUUGUAAGGGGGCCAAUCAUGGCCCAGUCCUCAUGAGACUUGUUGAGGAUUCAAAGAGUCAACCCAGGUACCAUGCUGACAACAGGCAUGGCACCCGAAAGCACCCCAGGGAAGGAGGCUACCCUCUGUUGCAGAGGCCUCUGCCUCAGCUCCAGCUAACCUCUGGUUUUGGCUCACCUUGCUUGGUGAGAGGCUUUGGCGCUGGCGGGGAAGUGCAGGUGGAUGAAUAGGCCCAUAGGCCCAAGGAGAAUUUGAGUCCAUGGCCUGGGAAGCUCAGCGAAGCCAGGGAGAAGCAAACACGAGCCCUGUUGCAGGGGCAGUUGGUGUUUCUGACUCUGGCGGGUGAGGAGGAGCAAGGGGACUCCGGGAGCAAGGCCAAGGGCAGGGCCCCCAGUGCCCAGCAGGCCACACCCACAUCCAGCUCUGCCUCUUGCUGGAUGCACACUUAGGGGCAUUCCCGUCAGCCCAGUGGGGAUCCUAGUAUCUGCUUGAUAGGGCACAUGACAGACAUGAAGGAAACAAUGCCUGUGCAGGGCAAGAUCAACAGCAUGGCAUGGCAUGGCAGAGGGAGCCUAGGUCUCUUCUCUAUACUCCCGGUCUUCUAUACACCCAGUCCUUCAACCACCUCAACCUUGCUGGUCUCAUCUGUAAAAUGGACAUCAAAUGACAGCCUCAUUUAGUUGUGGGAGUUACAAAUGACCUAGGUGCCUGUACAGGGAGGAGGAAAGGAAUGAGUCCGUGGCAGAGUGGGUGCUGUGGGCAGGCUGGGAGGGAGCUGGACCCUCCGGGACCCUGUGUGGAUCAACCACAGGCUGGCAGGGAGCACUGCCCUUCAGAAUGGCACCAUGUGCUGCUCUCAAUGGCAGGGUCCAGAGUGCUGGCAGCCACUGGGCAAGUCUACUCUGUCAUGGAGCCUGAGGACCCCUCGCGAGCAGUGAGGAUCUGGCUCCGGCUGUGCGGGAGGGCCACGGUGUGACUUCUGUUAUGUGGGCUUCACCUUCUGUGUCUCCACACUGCAACACAGCAGCCGCCACCGUGGGCCCCAGCAGCAGCCUCUGUCAUCCGAGCAGCUCUGAAUGUCUCCGGGGCCUUCCCAGCCUCUGCCCAAACGGCUGUCCCAGGGCCAAGGCCUGAAGGUCAGAGGGAAAACCUUUCCUUCAGGAAUCACACUCCCAAAUCCUCGUAACACGGCGCACCCUGUGGAUAAUGCUUACAAGAGCACCGAGAACAGGGGCUGCCGUUCGGCCCCAACAGCCUGGUUUGUCCACACGAGCCUCUGGAGCCGGAUGGCCUAGGAGCAGAUGGGGAAACUGCAGUGGUUCCAGAUGGACUUUCUGCUCUUGCCUCUGGAUCUGACAGAUCUGGACAGUGGCCAUGGUCCCCUGUGUUUCCUCAGCUGUCACAGUUGUCUGUGUGGAAGGAGGGCAGUGGAUCCCAGGACCUGCAUAACUCCGGGACCUGAGCCCUCCCUUUCCCUGGAAGGUCCCUGGCUGGGCCUCAGAAGCAUCCUAACAGAAGACUCAAAGCUUUGCUCAUGUAAAGCAUUGCCUUUCCUCUGGCUCAAGUCUUGUCCAGGAAAAGUUGGGUGAAGACCCAUCUGUUGAAUCAGCUUGCCAACCUGCGCAUGGAGUGGUGCUCCCCAAGUUCAUUUGUGAGUGGUAUGCUGAGUUGAAGAGGAUCUUGUAUUCCCAGUUAUACUCAGCUGUGUCUUUGAUGGAGUGGGGGGUUGGGGCUGCCUUGAGGUCUAGUCACCACCUAUAGUGCUGUUUCUUUGGAAAAAUACAUUCCAAGCACCUUUGUUGGUUGA